rnacentral:rRNA from 1 species
AUUGAACGCUGGCGGCAGGCCUAACACAUGCAAGUCGAACGAGUGGCGGACGGGUGAGUCAUGUCUGGGAAACUGCCCGAUGGAGGGGGAUAACUACUGGACACGGUAGCUAAUACCGCAUACCAUCGGAUGUGCCAAGAUGGGAUUAGCUAGUAGGUGGGGUAACGGCUCACCUAGGCGACGAGCCCGAGCUGGUCUGAGAGGAUGACCAGCCACACUGGAACUGAGAAACGGUCCAGACUCCUACGGGAGGCAGCAGUGGGGAAUAUUGCACAAGGGGCGCAAGCCUGAUGCAGCCAUGCCGCGUGUAUGAAGAAGGCCUUCGGGUUGUAAAGUACUUUCAGCGAGGAGGCGUUACUCACAGAAGAAGCACCGGCUAACUCCGUGCCAGCAGCCGCGGUAAUAC